GUGAAUCAUCGAAUCUUUGAACGCAAAUUGCACUCUCCUCGGAGAGUAUGCCUGUUUGAGGGUCAGCCUAAAAAAAUCGACAUCGUUUCUGUUUCGCGGUGAUGUUCGUCGGAAAUUUGGUCAUCUUAAAUCCUUUUGGUUUUAAGCGACUUAAAAAUUUCUUUUUGGUUCCAUGAACGUUUCUAAGAUUUAUUUCUUUACACGUUUAAGGUAUCGAGUUUUACUACACUUUACCAUCAUAUCGGAUCGCGUCCAUCAUCUUUCAUUAACUGACCUCAUACAGGUAAUAGUACCCGCUUAA
rnacentral:misc_RNA from 1 species